ensembl:antisense Gm26787 predicted gene, 26787
AGGAAGGAGCGGCGAUAGGAAGGAGUGGACGCUGUACCCUGGUCACAUGAGCAGAAGCGGAAAUACGUAGAGAAAGCGGCAGUCGUACCACGUCCGGAAAAGUUGGGCUGCAGAUCCGUUUGUUUUUUAAGGUUGUUGCCGUUUGAGUUCCUGUCCUGUCUGCCUUCAAUGAUGAACAAUGAUGUGAGUCUUUGCUUCAUUGGCGCUGAUGAUGAAUAAAGGAAACAGGAUAGAAAAGAGGCAGCCACUGUUUUAAAAAAAAAAAAAAAGUCAACUUUAUAAGGCAUGACUUUAGGAAACAGUAUUAUAAGCCUCACAUCUCUUCACUUCUGAAUUUCUAAGUAUUUUCCUCCAGGAGGCAGCAUAGAAGAUUUUUUUUUUAUAUUUUCAUCUUAAUAAUGACAAAUGUCACUUAAUAUUAACAACAACAACAAAUUUUCCUGAUGGUCAAAUGAUGUAACAUGCUGGUACAGAUGCAGAACAAUAAAAGAUACUUGGAACAU